rnacentral:lncRNA from 13 species
CAUGGGGUGAUUUAUUCAACUGCAUUUGAAUAUUGCCUUUUUUUUCCCCCGCAUGUCUCAGGCAUCUGUGGCAGUCAUGGCUACAGCGAGUCAACUCUUGGAUGCCAACGAAACAGAAUUCAUCCACAGUAAUCUUGUCAAUGCUACAACCAGUGUGGAUCCAGCUCCGGUUGGCAGUAACACAGUGCUACCACAAACUGAAAGCUGUUGUUUGGCUUACACGGAAUUCAGCUGGCAGUUGUUUAAUGCUGUGGGAGUCAGUGGGAGCCUGAAUCCUAAUUACCUGAACAAAUCACAGGAAUUGGUAACUUCAUUGGCAAUCUUAACUGAGAAAGGCAUAUAAAGCAAGUUUAAAAUGCCAAAUAUGCUGUUAUUGAUAUCAUUCAUAAGGUUUACUGGAAACCCAUAUAUCCCUUGGUAGGCACCAGCUUCCCUUUCAAAAUCAAAUCACUGUCAGUACACACUGUUUGCUGGUGCCAUCUCUGUGUUUCUGUAGACCCUUUUCCCCUUGCGAUCCCAGUCCCUGGUACGCCACAUCCGAACUGCAGCUGUGUAAUCACGCCUACGUCGUUUGGGAUUACACGCGAAAUGACUGGAGUACCGCUGGCUGUGCAAAAGGGAGAGACCAGUUCUUGAGAUGCAGGUGUAAUCACACCACUAAUUUUGCUGUUCUGAUGAUAGGGCAUCGUCUUUUCUUGAAUGGGAAGAGUCCAGGGUUGUUUAAUGUUUUUGGUUGGUUGGUUGUUUUUAACUCUAAGACCAGCAUGGCAAUAGAAGGGCAUAGGUGCACUCAGCUAGAACGCACAGGAGUUUAAGAUGUCCGCAUGUACUUCAUGUACUUGUUUCUGCCCCACGGCAGAUCUGGCAAAUCGGGCAAGUUGUGCCCAAGCUGCUGAAUAGCCAAAUGUAUUGGCAAGUCCUGGCUUCCUCUGACACAACCUGUGGCUGUGCCACCUGCUUGUGCAGCUCCAUAGCAGGGAAGGGCUGGCCUAAUUCAUUCCCCUUGCUC